GGAGUUAGAAAGCUCGCGGGCGUUGUGGCAGCGGGCCAACGCCGGCGAGCAGCUGCUCCCACUGUGACAAGAGAGCAUGAGGGCUGUGGGAGCACCAGUGGUUACACACCGGACAGAGGCCCUUUGUGUGCGCUGAGUGUGGCAAGGGCUUCACCCGCAUGUCCAGCCUGUGGCAGCACCGGCGUACCCACAGCGGUGAGCGUCCCUUCCCCUGACCGUCCUGUGGUAAG